AUGCCUGUGUGUAUGGAGUAUGGGUGGUGGUGGCUCACGUCACGUAAUGUAAUGUAAAAAUGCAGGAGAUUAAACAGCAACAGGCUGACAGGAAGAAUACCCAGACAACUUACCAAGCUUGGCAACCUCAAGAUCUUGGAUGCAUCAAACAACGAUUUGUGUGGUACCAUUCCAACUUCGGGCUCGUUUUCUAAGUUCACAGAAGCAAGUUUUAUAAAUAACCCGAGACUAGAAGGACCAGAGCUAAUGGGAUUUGUGAGAUACGACGUAGGAGGCUGCAACUGAGGCUUGAUGCCAGAGAAGAGGCCACCCUUUGCUUUUGCCAAAAAAGAAAAAUAUUUUGUUUUUCUAACUUAUAAUAUGUAAGUGGGAAAGCUUCCUUAUAUAUGAUGAAUCAAGUGGAGAUUCUCAACUCCAUGUCGUGUCUUAGUUGUAAUAUAUACCAUAAUAUAAAUACAUUUUAUACAUAUGCUGCCACUAAUGGAUAUGCUGGGCUGUUUUUAAUUUAA